rnacentral:rRNA from 1 species
UACGAAGGGGGCUAGCGUUGCUCGGAAUCACUGGGCGUAAAGGGUGCGUAGGCGGGUCUUUAAGUCAGGGGUGAAAUCCUGGAGCUCAACUCCAGAACUGCCUUUGAUACUGAAGAUCUUGAGUUCGGGAGAGGUGAGUGGAACUGCGGAGUGUAGAGGUGAAAAUUCGUAGAUAUUCGGAAGAACACCAGUGGCGAAGGGCGGCUCACUGGUCCGGUACUGACGCUGAGGUGCGAAAGCGUGGGGAGCAAACAGGG